rnacentral:rRNA from 1 species
CUACGGGAGGCUCCAGUGGGGAAUAUUGGACAAUGGGGGCAACCCUGAUCCAGCAAUACCGCGUGUGUGAAGAAGGCCUGCGGGUUGUAAAGCACUUUCGGCGGGGAGGAAACGCUUAAGGCUAAUACCCUUAAGAAUUGACGUUACCUGCAGAAGAAGCACCGGCUAACUCUGUGCCAGCAGCCGCGGUAAUACAGAGGGUGCAAGCGUUAAUCGGAGUUACUGGGCGUAAAGCGUGCGUAGGCGGAAGUUUAAGUCGGAUGUGAAAGCCCCGGGCUCAACCUGGGAACUGCAUUCGAUACUGGGCUUCUAGAGUAUGGUAGAGGGAAGUGGAAUUCCCGGUGUAGCGGUGAAAUGCGUAGAUAUCGGAAAGAACAUCAGUGGCGAAGGCGGCUUCCUGGACCAAUACUGACGCUAAGGCACGAAAGCGUGGGGAGCAAACAGGAUUAGAUACCCCCGUAGUC